ACCUAUGGAGAGGUGUAACUUAUGGUUGUACCUUAUCAUUAGGUACUUCUGAUUGAGGAAUAUUUUGUACUUCACUUUGAACUUCUUCAAGUUCAAUAUUUCUCCCACCGCUUCUUUCUAGGAUAAACUCCUUUUCCAUGAAAGUAGCAUGUCUACUGAUAAAUAUCUUUUAUUCAGUAGGAUGGUAAAAGAGGUAUCUCAUACUUUCUUUAGGAUAUCCUACAAAUAGACAUUUAUUUGUCCUAGCACUUAGCUUAUAUUC
rnacentral:lncRNA from 1 species